rnacentral:rRNA from 1 species
UACGUAGGGACCAAGCGUUGUUCGGAUUUACUGGGCGUAAAGGGCGCGUAGGCGGCCUAGCAAGUCACUUGUGAAAUCUCCGGGCUUAACUCGGAACUGCCAAGUGAAACUGCCAGGCUAGAGUGCAGAAGGGGCAAUCGGAAUUCUUGGUGUAGCGGUGAAAUGCGUAGAUAUCAAGAGGAACACCUGAGGUGAAGACGGGUUGCUGGGCUGACACUGACGCUGAGGCGCGAAAGCUAGGGGAGCAAACAGG